GGGUCGGGGCGGGGGGAGGCGCCGCAGCCGCGCAGACGGCAACAGCGGUCGGCUCUGCGGGAGCAGGUCCCUCCGCAGCGCGAUCCGCUCGCUGAGCACUUCGUUAAAGCCGUGGGUCUCCAGGCCGAGCGGCCGCUCCCCCGGAGCAGCCCCUUCCCCAGCCUGCAGGGGUAGGGACAGCGGCAGGGACUCAGGGUCCCCCUCCGCCUUCCCCUCUGGCCGCCUGCUCUGCUGCUUCACCACGCGAUAGCCCUUCCUGGCCUUGCUGUGGUUCCUUUUGCCCGUGGGCGACACGACGGCCACGAUCAGCUCAUCCUCCCGCAGGGAGAUGAAAGGCGAUAGACCAUCCAAAGGUUUCCUUCCAGAUAGAUCCUGCUUCUUCAAAGUUUCCAAUUGCUGCCCGGAUUGAAGCACUGUAUCUCUGAAAGCAGAUCUGACAGCUCUCCUCCGUUCAGAGGCUUUAACUUAACUGUGAUCAACAGAUGAGAACUAGUCGGUCCGUGACUUUGUUUCACACACAACUACGGCACUCAGUCAGGAAGCACUUUGCCAGAUAUAAUACAGAGCAAUGUGUGUGUCUUUCUCUUGGUCCUAAUGCCCUCGCUGUGCUUGUCCUAUCAAAUCAAAACUUUGCAAAAGCUGUAAGAGGUGAAAUACAAGAAAAAAACCAUUGUAUUAGAAAAGAAAUCAGAGCACACCAUCGAUUGCUGUGCUUCUGAGUAGCUGUAUUAGACUGAGAAUGCUUGGAGCAAGAAGCAAGAAUUUUAUAAACUGAAUAAAAGAUGGAGUGCA